rnacentral:rRNA from 1 species
GACGAACGCUGGCGGCGUGCUUAACACAUGCAAGUCGAACGGAAAGGCCCUGCUUGCAGGGUACUCGAGUGGCGAACGGGUGAGUAACACGUGGGUGAUCUGCCCUGCACUUCGGGAUAAGCCUGGGAAACUGGGUCUAAUACCGGAUAGGAGCCAUUUUUAGUGUGAUGGUUGGAAAGUUUUUUUCGGUGUAGGAUGAGCUCGCGGCCUAUCAGCUUGUUGGUGGGGUAAUGGCCUACCAAGGCGGCGACGGGUAGCCGGCCUGAGAGGGUGGACGGCCACAUUGGGACUGAGAUACGGCCCAGACUCCUGCGGGGGGAAGAAGGGGGGAAUUUUGCACAAUGGGCGGAAGCCUGAUGCAGCGACGCCGGGGGGGGGAUGACGGCCUUGGGGUUGUAAACCCCUUUCGCUAGGGACGAAGCUUUUUGUGGCGGUACCUAGAAAAGGAGCACCGGCUAACUACGG